AUGCUUCUUCUCAUGAAGAAAUGUUGCGGGUUAUGAAGUGCUUAGAGAGGAUGAAGAACACUUAACAAGAACCAUAUCAAAGCAAAGUCAUAUUAUAAGAGAAGCAAUAACAUAAUUUAAAUAUUAUCUAAAUUUGCUAUUAAUAUUUCAAGGAUCAGUAUGCUAGUAUCAUAACUGCCUUGAUGAUAUAUAUAAAUGUUCUUACCAUGUUUUAAUAGGUGCAAACUUAAAGAAACAAUAAGCAUACAAUAACUGCAUCCCAAAAAGAGCAGACAAAAGCCAAAAUUGCAAAGAACUUACAUUGCUAAAAAGG
rnacentral:misc_RNA from 1 species